AGACUGCAGAUUCCCUUCGGGUACUUUCAGGACACCUUAUGCAGACACGAGAUCUUGUACAACCAGAUAAACCUGCAAGUCCCAAGUUUAUAGUGACGCUGGAUGGUGUCCCCAGCCCCCCAGGAUACAUGUCAGAUCAAGAGGAGGACAUGUGCUUUGAAGGAAUGAAACCCGUAAACCAAACUGCAGCCUCAAACAAGGGACUCAGAGGUCUCCUCCACCCACAGCAGUUGCACUUGCUGAGCAGGCAGCUUGAGGACCCAAAUGGUAGCUUUUCUAACGCUGAGAUGAGUGAACUGAGUGUGGCACAGAAACCAGAAAAACUUUUGGAGCGCUGCAAGUACUGGCCUGCUUGUAAAAAUGGGGAUGAGUGUGCCUACCAUCACCCCAUCUCACCCUGAGCCUUCCCCAAUUGUAAAUUUGCUGAAAAAUGUUUGUUUGUUCACCCAAAUUGUAAAUAUGAUGCGAAGUGUACUAAACCAGAUUGUCCCUUCACUCACGUGAGUAGAAGAAUUCCAGUACUGUCUCCAAAACCAGGUGAGUGAGUGACUGUGCUACUACAUUUGGGUAAAAAAUAUAAAAUGGCAUUUUGUGACUGUAAAUGGAAUUGAACAAACAAAAGACGAUUUUAGAAAUAAUUUUGGCAGGAUCAGUUAAUCCAACCAGUCUUUAAGGAGCAAGUGUGCCUAUCUGUAGUAUUCCAAAGUAUUUUGACUAGUGAAUAUAUAAACCUUACCAUUCUAAUUUAAAAAUGGUUUUCACUUUCAAAAAAAAAUCAGUAGACUGCAUUAAAAAUGGAUUUUCCAAACAGAUUGGAGAUCAGUCCUGGUUUUUAUUUUGUUAGCAGUUGCACCACCAGCACCACCUUCCAGUAGUCAGCUCUGCCGUUACUUCCCUGCUUGUAAGAAGAUGGAAUGUCCCUUCUAUCAUCCAAAACAUUGUAGGUUUAACACUCAGUGUACAAGACCGGACUGCACAUUCUACCAUCCCACCAUUAAUGUCCCACCACGACAUGCCUUGAAAUGGAUUCGACCUCAAACCAGCGAAUAGCACCCAGUCCUGCCUGGCAGAAGAUCAUGCAGUUUGGAAGUUUCCAUGUACUGAUGAAAGACACUCUACAGAACUUGUCAAAUCUUUGAAACUUGGAAUAUAUUGCUUUCAUAAUAUGAAGUUUUAUUGCCUAUC
rnacentral:sRNA from 1 species